CUCCUCUUUCUCCCAUCACACAAUACCUUUUGCAGGAACACAGGGGCACAGACAGUCACACACUCCGGCCUCACCCCUCACCGUGGGGAAGCUUCCUGGUGUGAGUCCUCAGGGCCUCAGUGGCUAAUUUUCUCCAGAUGAAAAGAGGCGAAAUAGCCCAUCGUCCAGGCCGCACCACCCCCAUGGCCCUGGAUGCUUGGGAGGCAUCAGAGGCAUGAUCUUCAGCUUCUGGACGUACCAUCUGAAGCCACCCUUUGAACUGAGCGCCCCCAUGCGCCUGGCACUGAGUUCCACGCUCUGUGCACAUUUGCACAUUGAAUCUUCAUCAUUGGUCAAUUAUUUCCCCAUUUUUAGACGAGAAGACGGAAGCCCAGCAAAGAGGCUGCUGAGGUGAGGCAGCUCCCUGGCCCUAACCCCGCAGUCCACAGUUCUGCCGUCUCUCUGCUCUGCUUAGGAGGGCAAAGGGGAUGGCAUGGGGCCGCUUUGUCACUAGGACUGAGGCUGAGGAAGAGCCAGUCCUUUCUUCUUCUCUCUCAUUCAGGUCUGUGAUCGGAUCUGUGAUUCAGAGAAUCUGAAUUCCACAGAGUUGCAGCGAACAGUUCUGUUUUAGAGAGUUCUCCCCUGUGGAGCGAUGGGUCCCAGGCCUUCUGCUUUCCUAUGGCUGCAGCACGGAGGUGGGACCCGCCUGCCGGAAGAGAGAACGGGGUGGGGCGGGGCGUGGGCGGGGCUUCCUGUGGGAUCCGAGUGCUGAAGAGGAGGUGGGAGGGGCCUGGCCGUGACGGGAGGCUGGGAGCGUAGGAGAGAGAGGAAAACUCCAGAAGGAAAGCUUCAAAAAGCCCAGUCUCCUGGGCCCUCUGCCAACCCCCACAUGAGUCAGGCGGAGCUCAGGGUGUUACAGCUGCUGCCCCUGACCCCCCAAGCACCGUUUCUGGGGGGCGGUUUCACAGCAGGCCCUCUAAAUCAUAACUUUGCUAGCACUAACAUGUCUUGUAUUUAUGGGGUUCUUUGCAAUUUUUAAAUUACUAGCCAUCAGUCAUCUCAUCUCUUAAAAUGGGGAAAUAACACUUCUAGUGCAGUGUCUACGGAACUUUUUCCAGCAGAUCCUAUGUUUCACGAGAUAGGAAUGGAUGGAGUGUGUGUGGGUGGAUGUUAGUGGUUAGGGGUCGAAUAAAUGCAGGAAACGCUUCAUAGUAGGUUCCCUUCUUAACGAGUCAUUAUGUAUAUUAUUAUAUUAAAGGCUCUGACGAGUCCUGUGCCAAAGAAUUCCGUCUAGCCUAGUCUGCCAAAGGUCUUCCAGGGAGCAAAUGCCAACAACACAGAAAUGCGAGAGACUUAUUGGGGGUAAUGCCUGGGAAAAAUAAAGGGGAGCGGGAGCAGAUGAGGUAGGGGAGCCUUCAGGUCACCGUGUGGGUCUGACAUCAGUGGACAGAGAGGAAGAAAGAUGAGGGAACAGGAAGACCCUCAGCUCGCAGGCCCCCGCUGAGAAAGUCCCAGCCAGCCCAGUGGUGACUCCAGAGCAGAGCUGGCCCUUUGGAGAUCUGCACUGUGUAGAAAGCGUAGAAAUCAUCCGCCCAGGACCUCUGCCUGUGGUCGCUGGCCGGAGCAGCCGGGUGGGGUGCGGGGGGGAGUGGGGAGCAUGUCUUCAUCCAGAACGCUCUGUGCAUAUUCAUGCAUUCAAUCCUCACUCUAACCCUACGAGAGAGAGAGAGAGAGAGAGAGAGAGAGAGAUUUUUUCCCUCAUUUGCAGAUGAGGGAACUGAGGCACUGAGGGUUUCAGUAACUUGCCGGAGAGGCGGCCAUCUGGCCAGUGAGUGGCGGAUCCGGAAUUCGAAUACCAGGCUGCAUUUGGGAAGGUCUGUCUUGGGGCAGAAUGAUACGGAGAAUGUGGUUUGCAGAGCGUAUGGGGCAAAAACGCGCAUUCUGGCUCAUUCAUCGGCACACAGCAAACUGCAGGGGCCACAUCGCUGCUGGCUUCCUCAUCCUAGAUGCCCCGAAGGCCUCGUUCGUUCUCGCCUUAUGGAGGAUCCUGCGGCCGCCAGGCGGGUCCACCCGCCUCCUCCCCAUCCCCGCCUGGAAAACCUUUCUAGCCUCUGCCUCUCUCUCCUGGUUUUUCUCCUGGCUCCCAGGCUGUUCUUUCUCAUUUUCCGUCACCAGUUCCUCUUUCUCUGCCUGUACCUUAGUGUGGGCUUUUUGGGCAGCUUCUGCCUCAGACCUGCCUGGUUCAACAUGGCCCCUGCUUCCACCUUCUGGUCCCAGGGGCCAGCGUUUGCAGGUGAAUGACCGGGAUAUUUCUGCCGGCCACGCUUCCUCCUCCUCCGGGAGGUGUUGUUUUGUUUCUGGAUUUUUCUUUUCUCCUCUGGGUCUAUAUACAGAGGAGACUCUUCUGUGGACCUAAACAUUUAUUUUUUUAGAAUACUAAUUUGGACUUUCAGAUGCAGCUGGUGGAAGCUUAAUUAAGUUGUAAAUCAUUCUCCAGAUGAUUUAUAACUUAAAUAUCCACAAGAUUUAAAGACCGGAAACACAUUCUUUUACAUCAUCAGUCUCUUCUGAGGAUGAGCUGGUUGGCUCCAGAGGCCACCCCAGGCUGUCACCGUCUGAGUAAGGGGCACCCAGGCUCUUCUGUCUGGCAGGUCCUGAGAGAGAACACGGAGACUCUGUCUGGGACCAAAUAAGGGAAUAUUACCAAGGGGACCUCAGAGAGGAGCCUGAGUCUGAGUCACGUCUUGGCGAUGCGGCCACACAGCUUCUGACUCAAGACGUAGAGAGACCUCCUUCGGCUCUUCGUGGCAAGAAUGAGGAUCGAGGAUCGAGGAUCGCAACAGUGACAGGCUUAGGGGUGGAGAAGGAGGCAGGACUCUUUCCUCUUGUCCAGCUGCUGUGGGAAGGCGAGGCCGACAAGGGCCGUGGCACCUGCAGGUCCAGCGGCCACAGAGGAGGGCCGCAGACUCAGAGCGGGGAGCAGUGCCACCUCUGCCUGGUGCUGCCGGUGUGGCGCCCACUUACCCUGCCUCUGACCCGGUUGUGCUGGGGAGGCCUGGGCGUCCUGACUCAUGCUCAGAAGGGAGUGUCUGGGAGGAAUUUCUUUCCUCCCUAGAAGUCUCCCUAGAAUUUCUUUCCUCCCUAGACUGAUCAAAAAUGCAAGUCACAUUAAGACAUAAGUGCUCUCGAAUGUAUGUUCUGUGUCGUGCAUUUGCACAUGACUUGGAAAGCACAAUAAUGAACAGUUAGCGCCAUGAGCUUAGCACUUUCUCUUAUGGCACUCAUCACCGGGUGCCGUAUGCAUUUGUGAGUCUCAGUCCCCGCUGGCCUGUCAGUUCCUGAAGUGGACUGUGUCUUUCUUAUUCACCUGGUGACCCUGGCGUAGUCCCUGACACCUGGCGGUCCUCGGCAGAGGUUUACUGAAUGAGGAUCACAGGCACCAAGCUUUCCCCAGGCAAAAUUUGUUGGUGUCUUCAACGUUUGUGCCACGGAUGUGGGGUGGCGGAAACGCUGCCUGGGUCCCUGCUGGAGAGUUUUGAGGAGCGCAGACUGAACCUCCGCCCGGGUUGUUUCAGACGCCUGGGUGUAGGGUGGGCGGGGCGGGGUUCAUCAUGCCCCUUUACAGAAGAUCCCUCCCCAGGGUGGGUCCCUCCCCAGGGUGGGACCCUGGUACCGUGCUCUCCAGGAAGAAGGUGAGAAUGUUCUUGGCCACAGGCCCUGGCGCAUUCCCGGCCGUCUCCCCCGUCCCCACACUCUGGACUGGUCCAUCCCUCAGUGUGGGUGCUGCUGCUGGUGCAGGUAGAAGGGUGCAGGGCGGGGCCUCUUCAGGGAGUCUGCUUGGGACCACACUGGCCAUAGACACAUAGCCUCGCCUCUCCACCCUGUCUCUAUGCCUGGGGCGUUUCGAGGCCAUCAACAAAGUCAUGAAACCAUGGAAAUGGGGGCCACUCCCUUGGCCUCUUGAGAAAUCGUGCGUGGAGAUACGGGGCCAUCAACAUUUAUACUUUCACGAUGGUGACAGCGGAGCAUUCCAGUGAGCACGAGGACCUUCUGAGUGCGGAGGCCUGCGUGACCGCACGGUUUGCAUGACGCCCAUGAAGCCGGCUCUGCCUCUUCUGUUGGUAGUUGGCUUCUCCGGAAGUAGUGGGCGAGAUGGAGUCUGACGUGCAUAGCACAUAGGAGUAUCGACGUCGGUGAAUGGCAGUGGAGGAGGUGGUCUUGUUCAGAGAGAGAAGUCAAAAUGUGAUGCAGUUGGGACAACGUUUUGGCCAAUCCCACGGGCUGCUCUGGACCAGCCGUGCCCAUAGGAGAUGCUGGGUGGGGUCACACUGUCUCUGUACCCCGCCCCUGUCAGUCGCUGGAUAUGGGCCGCCCCAACUGCAGGAACUGAGAUUAGCAGAAAGUUUCUCACGCUUAGCAGUUUUAGGGUUUGUCUCAGUCGCAGAGGGUCACCUCACCCCAGGACACACCCUCCUCACGUCUAUCCACAACCUUCUUUUGUCUUCCAAAGGAAAUAUCAACAAACGGAAUCCAGCUAUAUACAUAUGACGAUAAUCACAACCGACAGCUUGGGCCAGUUCCAAGAACAGAGCGUUGGGUUAACAUGAUCAGGAGAUCAGGGGACCAAUCACAGAGACGGAUCUACAUUAACAGAAUGAUACGUAAGGAUAUAGAUACAGAAAGGUUAAAAAUAAAACCAUGGGAAAAGAGAAGACACGUAAACGCUAACAAGAAGGAAGCUGGCAUCACUAUCCUCAUAUGCGACAAAAUGAACUGUAAGGCAAAAAGCAUAUUAGAGGGACAAGGAGGUCUUCUGUAAUGAUAACGUCUCAGACUAUGAGGACAUUAAGAGGAAAAGGAGAAAGGUGGCCGAAAAGAAGUGUGGCGGACUGUGGAGGGACUUGAGAUUCUUCAGGAAGCUCAAAGCCUCUUUACCCCUCUCCCACCCGCUAGUAGAGAAAUAUUUCAUAGUUUAUUUUUCAUCGCGUAGAGCUAUAUUGUAUUGUUAAAAACUUAAAAAUCAAAAAGGAAGAAAGGAAGGAAGGAAGCAAGCAAUUAUCAAGCUAUGAAAAGACAUGGAAGACAGUUAAGUGCAUUUUGUUAAGUCAAAGAAGCCCAUCUGAGAAGGCUACACACUGUGUGAUUCCAACAACAUGAUGCUCUGGAAAUGGCAAACUAUGGAGUCAGUAAAAAGGUGGUUGUUUGCCUGUUUGUGAGGAGGGAGGAAGGGAUGAACAGGCGAGCAGGAAGGAUUUUUGGGGCAGUGAAACUAUUCUGUAUGAUAGUGUAAUGGUAGAUAGAAAUCAUCACGUAUUUGUCCAAACCCACAGAAUGUGCAACACAAAGAGCAAAUUCUAAUGGAAUCCAUGGACUGUAGUCUCAAAAUCCAGGGAAGAGACGCUUUGGCUCAUCUUGAGUCAGGUACACAUUCCUGCAUCAAUAACUAUGGGCAACAUGUUGCCUAAGCCUUCGGAACUGCGGGCUGCGUGCAUCUGUUUUGGUAAACGCUCCACCUGCAUUUGAGAAGAAUGUACCCAGUCCUCUGCUCUUGUUAGGUACAGUGUCCUGUAUAUGCCAAUAACACGAUGAGUUAAUUGUACCGUUCAAAUCUAUUAUAUCCUUAUUGAUCUUUUUCUCUGCUUAUUCUAUCAGUUACUAGAGGUAUUGUAUUAAAAUCUCACACUAA